rnacentral:misc_RNA from 1 species
GAUGAAGAACGUAGCGAAAUGCGAUAAGUAAUGUGAAUUGCAGAAUUCAGUGAAUCAUCGAAUCUUUGAACGCACAUUGCGCCCGCCAGUAUUCUGGCGGGCAUGCCUGUUCGAGCGUCAUUUCAACCAUCAAGCCCCCGGCUUGUGUUGGGGACCUGCGGCUGCCGCAGGCCCUGAAAAGCAGUGGCGGGCUCGCUGUCACACCGAGCGUAGUAGCAUACAUCUCGCUCUGGGCGUGCUGCGGUUUCCGGCCGUUAAACCACCUUCAUAACCCAAGGUUGACCUCGGAUCAGGUAGGAAGACCCGCUGAACUUAAGCAUAUCAAUAAGCGGAGGA